GAAUCUCAAGAUGUCUUUCUUGGAAGUUCCAUUGCCCUGCUGUGUGACCUUCAUCAAGCCCUUGGCCUCUGCAUCUCCAGCCAGUACAUGUUCAAAUCCUACCAGUAUCACAAAUUAUAUUUGUUCACCUUGUCAAGAUUCUCUUCAUAACCCAAUUGAGAGGGAUUCAAAUUUGGAAAGGAGAGAUUUAAAUGGCAAAGAAAGAAAGUGCACAUUUAGGUGAAGGAGGAUGAAGAAUAAGAUGGAGGCAGAAGUGGCGAAGACAGCAGACUACAGAUGUAGUGUUUAGAAGAUGAGUGAGUUUGGUAUUGACCCAAAGGACUCUAGAAUCUGGGAGCCUGAAGAGAGCAAGUAUUUAUGGCAACAGUCAAAUAUUAAGGAAUGAAAGAAGAAAAUGAGGAGAAGCAACUCAAUAAUCAUAGGAGAGUAGGGCCACUAUGGAGAAGGAACAAUCCUAUGUCUCUUAGGGUCUCCAGAGAGCAUCACUGCAUUGAAGUCUAGUAAGCAAAUUCACGCUUGUGGUAAGAACAAGAUGAGAACACAUUGCAAGCAUUUUACCAAUUAAAAAAAAAUGAAAAGAAUAAGAUGAGAAUUAGUUACCUGUAAAAGUUUACCUCCUAAAGUAUCGUUAUUAGGAAUGGGACUCUAUUGCAACUAGACAUAUUUAGAACAGGAUUUUAGAGUUCCAGUUUAAGCCACAUAACGUGAAGAGUAUGGAGAUCAACUCAAACAUUCAAGGUGAGAUAGAACUACUCUCACAUGUAUCUGAUUCCAGUCUGAAAAGAUACUCUGCGAAUUUCAUUUAUCUGUGAUACUUUUAAAUCUGGAUGAAAAUGAGAUCUGGAGGCUCUUGAUUAUGUGGAUUAAUCCCAUUUAUGCUAGUGCAUUAACUACUAUGAAUUAUACAGAGCAUCAAUAGAAGAAGAUCAAUAUAAAAAAAAACAAAAGUUCAAGUUCUUCUUUCUCUUCCUCCUUAUGUAGUGUCCUUGACUUGUUGCAUGAGGGCAGCCAGCAUAACCCCUGCUUCGGGAGUUAUGUCUCUGAAGUAGCAGGUACUCUUCUUUCUCAAGAAGUUUUGGUCAUGGGCUUUAAUGUGACCCCCUUAACUGAACCUACCUUUGCCAUCAGCUCAGUCUCAGCAGAAUUAGAGGCCUGUUUGUAAAAUGUUAGUGAUUACAAUUCAUCCUUCAGAAGCAUUUUAUAGGGUACAUACAACCCAUUACAGAACCCAAGC